rnacentral:lncRNA from 1 species
AGCACUGGUGUCAGGUUUAGACAAAAGUGAGUAUAACAAGCCCACAGCUAUAACAGUUCACAUAAUACAGCACACAGGGUUGUGUAUUACAGUCACCUACAGAUGACAUUGUCCUAUAAUCCACAGUGCAUCUUUAACACUGAAAUACAGUACAGAAGAAAUGUUACAUUAUAGUACAAGUGACAGUUCAGUACAGCAGUCUAUCCAUUUUAACACCAUAUCCUACAGCAGUCAGUAUUAAGGAACAGUACAGAUGACACUUUAACACCAGUCAAUUUUACAACAGUACACAGGGUUGAGUAUUACAAUCAAGUACAGAUGACAUUGUCAGAUCAAAAUUCAUCUUUUACUCACCAAUAUGGUAAAGAGUGAUUACAACAGUGUAAGUGACAGUUCAGAAGACUAGUCCACAUAUUACAAUACACAGGUUUAGUAUGACAGAAUAGCACAGGUGACCGUUUUAAGUAUUACAACCCCACAAUGGUAACUGUUCACAUAAUACAGUACAUAAAGCCAAGUAUUACAAAUCGACAUUGUCUUAUCAUCCACAACGCCUGUUUAACACUGAAAUACAGUACAGAAGAAAUGUUACAGUAUAGUACAAGUGACAGUUCAGUACAGCAGUCUAUCCAUUUUAACACCAUACACUACAGCAGUCAGCAUAUUAAAGGAACAGUACAGAUGACACUAACACACCAGUCAAUUUUACAACAGUACACAGGGCUGAGUAUGACAAAAGCACAGGUGACCGUUCUAGUUUUAAAGUUUUACAACCCCACAUAAUACAGUACACAAGGAAGAUUACAAAUCGCGUACAGGUGACAUUUUCCUAUAAUCCACAAUGCAUCUGUUACAGUGAAAUACAGUACAGAAGAAAUGUUACAUUAUAGUACAAGUGACAGUUCAGUAGACCAGUCCAUCUACUUCAACACCAUACACUACAGAGGUCUGAGUAUUAACAAACAGUACAGAUGACAGUUCAACACAGUCUUAAUUUUACAACAGCACAGUACACAGGGCUGAAGGUUUCAACAAUUUAAGUAGGAAUCUACAUCAGAAGCUGUAGGCAGCACAAGAACAAGUCCAGGUUUCUUCCCUGCUGAAAAGAGAAGAAAGGAAACAAUAUUUCAGCUGGGGUUUGACAGUUAA